GAAAAACAAUGAUAUAUGGAUAGGCUUGGUAUCUUUUAGACAUUUUGUGAAUUAAUUUGUACGUUCAAAUAAAGAUCUACAUCGCCGUUUUGCCUAAGGGAAGUGAAGAACAUCUAUUACAUUUACAUGUGGUAGUGCAACUACACCACUGUUUGACUGGGACAAGACAUUUCUGAGUGAGGAGAGGAGUAAGGAGGAGGAGUUACAGGAACCUACCUCUUCCUGCUGUGCAGGCCAAGACCCUCAAGGCUAAGCAUCUUGAGAGAGCUGGCAUCAAAGUCCUACAUCACUUGGCCAGCUGAGAACAUCAACCAAAGCUCAGCAGCAAGACUGACAACUGCAGCACAGAUCCUCUGAGAAGGCUGUUGUCAAUGUAAGGAAGAGUGAAAUAUGGAUGGAAAUGUCCAAGAACUGGUAAAUUUGUGGUAAACACUGUUAAACACAAG
rnacentral:lncRNA from 1 species